UGGGGAAUCUUGGACAAUGGGGGCAACCCUGAUCCAGCGACGCCGCGUGGGUGGUAAGGCCUUCGGGUUGUAAAGCCCUUUCACCGGGGAAGAUGAUGACAUUACCCGGAGAAGAAGCGCCGGCUAACUCCGUGCCAGCAGCCGCGGUAAGACGGAGGGCGCUAGCGUUGUUCGGAAUCACUGGGCGUAUAGGGCGCGUAGGCGGCUGUCUAAGUCGAGGGUGAAAGCCCGGGGCUCAACCUCGGAACGGCCUUCGAGACUGGGCAGCUGGAGACGGGAAGAGGAGGGUGGAAUACCCAGUGUAGAGGUGAAAUUCGUAGAUAUUGGGAAGAACACCAGUGGCGAAGGCGCUCAACUGGACCGUAACUGACACUCAGGGACGAAAGCUAGGGUAGCGAAAGGGAUUAGAUACCCCCGUAGUCC
rnacentral:rRNA from 1 species